AAACAAGCGUCUUAUCAGCCUGACCGACACGAGUCUCGGUGAGAUUUGAGUGUUAAAGCAUGUGUGGAAGCUGCGUGAAGUCUGGAAGGGCAACCAUAGAAAAGGACCCUCCACAUCACAAGCUACCAUGAUUCAGGAAACAUCUGAAAAACAAAUCUCUUAUAAACCAACAUCCAGCAUGCUGUAGAGCUGAACAGUGCAGUGGCUCACUUUAGAUCCAGAAAAGAGAGAUAUCUAAAGAUGCCUUUUCAAGUUGAAAAGAAAAAAAAUCUGUGUUUUUAAAUGCUUA